rnacentral:rRNA from 1 species
UACGGGGGGGGUAAGCGUUGUUCGGAAUUACUGGGCGUAAAGGGCUCGUAGGCGGCCAACUAAGUCAGACGUGAAAUCCCUCAGCUUAACUGGGGAACUGCGUCUGAUACUGGAUGGCUUGGAUUCGGGAGAGGAAUGCGGAAUUCCAGGUGUAGCGGUGAAAUGCGUAGAUAUCUGGAGGAAUACCGGUGGCGAAGGCGGCAUCCUGGACCGGCAUUGACGCUGAGUGAGCGAAAGCUAGGGGAGCAAACGGG